CUUCUCUCUCCAUUGAAGUGGAUCUGUCAUGGGACUCAGAAAGCUAUACCAUUUUUGUCCUCAAGAUUGCUAUAAUCAGAGCCCAGUCACAGUUUCAGAGUUCAUUAGUGUAAAGACAUGAUGGGGGACUAUUUCAUCAUGACCAUAUCCAAGUCUACAUCCAUCCCAGGAGUCUCAUAACAUGGGGCAGCGCUAGAAGCCAUUUCUCCCACAGCAGUCAAUUGUCCACUGAGGCUUCACCUUCCUUCAAUGUGUCUACUGAGAAACCACUGGCUUCAACACCUUUGACGUGGAGCUCUACUUUCCCAGCUGGAAUGUAAUCAUUGUUUACGAUGUAUAUUUACCAGAAACCAAAUAC